UUAUGGUUCUGUAUAAUUUACAUUCAUUUAUUAAUUUGUAGUGCUGGUUUUGAUUGUUUAUGUUUUUGGGCUAAUCAGGCCAUUGGCUGACUCCCUCACCAGUGUGCUGACUACUGAACUAGGGAGCUGAUUGAGACGCACCCAGAGAUUUAGUUUGAAUUCAUUUUUCUGUCUGUUAAUGAUUCUGAUCUCAAACACACAGAGAAACUCCUGCUGAAGCACACUGUUAUAAAGAUGGAGUUUAUUAAAGAGGAGAGUGAAGACGUGAAGAUUGAAGAAACACUCAAACAUGAAGAUACUGAGACACAAACAGGCCUGAUGGUGUUGAAUGAGGAGAGUCAAGAACUGAAUGAAAGAGAAGAGAAAACUCAGUAUGAGAAACAUGAUUUCAUGGUUGGAGAAAAAUCCACAAAGACUGAAAAGAAUUCCUCACAAAAAAGAGGACAUAAAACCAAAUCCAAGAGUUAUUUCACUUGCCAUCAGUGUGGAAAGAGUUUUAAUCUAAAACAAAACCUUGAAGUCCAUAUGAGAGUUCACACUGGAGAGAAGCCAUUCACAUGCCAAGAGUGUGGAAAGCUUUUCAGUCAGAAAGGAAACCUUAAAAAACACAUGAUAAUUCACACCGGAGAAAGGCUGUGCACCUGUCAACAGUGUGGAAAGAGCUUCACAGCAGAACUGAACCUCAAGUAUCACAUGAGAAUUCACACUGGAGAAAACACUUUCAUCUGCCAAGAAUGUGGUAGAAGUUUCACUCAAAAACAUAGCCUCAAAUUUCAUAUGAGAAUUCACACCGGAGAGAAGCCCUACACUUGCACUCAGUGCGGAAAGAGUUUUGCUCAGAAAAACACCCUUAAUUACCACAUGAAUACUCACAAUGGAGAGAGAUCUUUCACCUGCCAACAGUGUGGAAAAAGUUUCGCUCACAAACAUAGUCUUAAAGUCCACAUGAGAAUUCACUCUGGAGAGAAACCUUACACUUGCACUCAGUGCGGAAAGAGUUUUGCUCAGAAAAACACCCUUAAUUACCACAUGAAAAGUCACACUGGAGAGAAAUUGUUCACAUGUGAUCAGUGUGAAAAGAGUUUCACAACAGAAGUAAACCUUGGGUAUCACAUGAACAUACACACUGGAGAGAAGCCGUUCAAAUGUGAUCAGUGUGGAAAGAGGUUCACACGUAAAAUAAGCCUUAGUAACCACAUGAGGAAUCACUCAGGAGAGAAAUGCUUUAUAUGUCUUCAGUGUGGAAAAAGUUUCAGUCAUAAAAGUAGCCUCAACACUCACACGAGACUUCACACUGGAGAGUACUCCUGCAAACUAUGUGGGAAGAGCUUCUCUCAAAUAGGAAUUCUUAAGAUUCACAUGAGAAUUUGCACAGGAGAGAAGCCAUUCAUAUGUGCGGAAAAUGAUUAACACGAAAGGAAAACCACACGAGGAUUCACGCAAGGGAUUUAUGUCAUCGGUGUGACACAGAGAAGCAGUUAAACAGUUAAAGUAAACCCUUAAACUUGCAUCAGAGUUUACACCAGAAAAUGUGCUUCUGUGUGAAAUUAAGGCAACUUUUACACUUCAGCUGAACAUGGACCCAAUCUGAAUGUCCACCUUCACCCUGCCCAGCCAUAUCACCCUGCAGCCCAAGACUGGUUGCCCACUGAAGCUAAGCAGGGUUGAGCCUGGUCAGUACCCGGAUAAAGGAGUGCCAGUUAGGAUGAUUUCAGGGGCCAGGUGAGGGAGAAGGGGCACAUUUUUUUACGGAGGGGGAGCCGAGUCAAGAUGAUGUUCAGGGGACCCAGAAACUAUAGCGAUGCCCUUGUGUGGGUCCUAAUGCCCCAGUAUAGUGAUGGAGACACUGUACUGUCAACAAGCACCAUCCUUUGGUGGACAAAGAAGACCAAGCUAUUCUGUUAUACAAAGUGCAGUGAUGAGUUCAAGGUUUACAAACUGAAAUGAAUCUUAGAGCACCAUGAUAAACAGCAUCCAGAGAAAAAAGAAGAUGGAGCAAUUUGAUACACUACAUCACCGUAAUCAAGUACAGAUAAAAAGUUGAGUAAUGAGAGAGCUAAAAGAUGUGUCGUCAACAAUGAUGCCAAGGUAUUUAUACUCUUUUACUAACUCAAUCACAUUACCUUGUAAUGUCUGGAGAGAAAUUCGAUUAUUUUCAAUUUUCUUUGAACUAAAAAAUAAUAUAUACUUGGUUUUAUCAGUAUUCAAAAUAAGUUUUAAGCUAUAAAGCCAUGACUGACUGAAUGACAUCAAAAGCUAAUCAAAACCUAUCAAACAUUGUAUAGAUUUUAAAAUCUUGCUUAUUACUUAUAAAGCCCUGAAUGGUUUAGCACCUCAGUAUUUGAACGAGCUCUUGUUACAUUAUAGUCCUCCACGUCCACCCCA